GCUCCAUCCAAUGGGGGAUGUAAGGAGAGGACAUCAAAUUGCUGGUGAAUUGACUCCAAGUCUCACUCAAUAAAUUAGAUGCUGCCACUCCUCAGAUGCUGUGCACGAUCUCUGAGUUCUUCCCAGUACCUUCUGAUCUGGGUCAGCUUGGCUUUAAUAUGUGCCGCUUCUCCAGAGUUUUCCAAGGCAUUUCUUCCUUUGUGGGGCAUUCCUGGAU